GUCCACGCCGUAAACGAUGAAUGCUAGGUGUCGCGGGUAUUGACCCCUGCGGUACCGUAGGUAACCCAUUAAGCAUUCCGCCUGGGGAGUACGGUCGCAAGACUAAAACUCAAAGGAAUUGACGGGGGCCCGCACAAGCGGUGGAGUAUGUGGUUCAAUUCGACGCAACGCGAAGAACCUUACCUGGGUUAGAACCCCCUCGAACUCUGCAGAAACGUAGAGGUGCCCUUCGGGGAGCGAGGUGUCCAGGUGCUGCAUGGCUGUCGU
rnacentral:rRNA from 1 species